rnacentral:misc_RNA from 1 species
CUGCAACCUUCCGUUAAGCAUUUUCUUGUCACAAACUAUAAAAUCAUGUUUGUUGCUUUCAGUAAAUCAAUUACAAACUAAUUGGGGAAGUCAUAUCCUAAAACCAUAAAUGAAAAAAUUUUGGGCAUUUUAUUAGGACUUCAGAAAGAAGAAAGACCAAAAAAAGGAAGAAAGACUACUGAGAGACGAGCUCAUAGGAACUUACAAUGGAAAGAAUAUGGAUUUCAUUCAAUUGGAUGUACUGCUAAUAUACAAUACAACAAUUGCACAUACAUAUGGGGAAAACUGUGAAAGCAAAAGUUGCAAUUACCAAUGAUGACUUCAUCAUCAAUGCCUCUGCCGAGAGAAACUUGGGGAUCCCAUUGCU